rnacentral:rRNA from 1 species
ACGAACGCUGGCGGCGUGCCUAAUACAUGCAAGUUGAGCGCUGAAGGUUGGUACUUGUACCAACUGGAUGAGCAGCGAACGGGUGAGUAACGCGUGGGGAAUCUGCCUUUGAGCGGGGGACAACAUUUGGAAACGAAUGCUAAUACCGCAUAAAAACUUUAAACACAAGUUUUAAGUUUGAAAGAUGCAAUUGCAUCACUCAAAGAUGAUCCCGCGUUGUAUUAGCUAGUUGGUGAGGUAAAGGCUCACCAAGGCGAUGAUACAUAGCCGACCUGAGAGGGUGAUCGGCCACAUUGGGGCUGAGACACGGCCCAAACUCCUACGGGAGGCAGCAGUAGGGAAUCUUCGGCAAUGGACGAAAGUCUGACCGAGCAACGCCGCGUGAGUGAAGAAGGUUUUCGGACCGUAAAACUCUGUUGGUAGAGAAGAACGUUGGUGAGAGUGGAAAGCUCAUCAAGUGACGGUAACUACCCAGAAAGGGACGGCUAACUACGUG